UUUGUUUUUACUCUGUCAGAGUCCAAUCCUGUAGAGGUAUGCGGAGAUGACUGCAAAGUCCUGAGCAGCCUCACCUCUUGCGGAGACCCUGCGCGCUCCUGUGACAUGCUCAGCAUUGCUGCUGUGCUCAGCUUUACCCCGCACACAGCUGUCUUGACCCUGCUGCCAUCUGAUGCUGCUUUUCAAAUUGCUGAAGUCAAAUUAGGAGUGCCUGGUCAUCAUGUGCAGAGCCACAGGCAAUGCUGGGAUCCAUCCGAACCUGAGCCUGGCGGUGCUGCCGCUGGCUGGGAAGCUCCCCGCUCCUCUGGCUCCAGAGGCAUCCUCCCAAAACCACGGUGGUCCCGAACACGGUGGAAGGAGGGAACAGACAAAGGAAUCGCUGCAGCUCUCAGCUGUGCCAUGGCUACCCCCGUAUCAGAAGAUCUUUG
rnacentral:lncRNA from 1 species